UCGAAAAUCGUCUAAUGGUUGGACAAUUGCAUGUAACGCAAAAAAUGUUGGUUCGAUUCCAACUUUUCGGCCA
rnacentral:tRNA from 1 species